rnacentral:rRNA from 1 species
UACAGAGGUCCCAAGCGUUGUUCGGAUUCAUUGGGCGUAAAGGGUGCGUAGGUGGCGCGCUAAGUCGGGUGUGAAAUUUCGGAGCUUAACUCCGAAACUGCAUUCGAUACUGGUGUGCUUGAGGACUGGAGAGGAGACUGGAAUUCACGGUGUAGCAGUGAAAUGCGUAGAUAUCGUGAGGAAGACCAGUGGCGAAGGCGGGUCUCUGGACAGUUCCUGACACUGAGGCACGAAGGCCAGGGGAGCAAACGGG